CCGCAGCCUCAUCUUCUCUCCCUUCUUCUCUAAUCUAGAGCAUUUUUGAUCGUCCUCAUUCUUGAAUAUAUCCGCGUGCUUCUGCAUCUAGGUGAUCUUUUCUUUGUUGCUGGCUGAUCACUAGGUUUCCACGUAUGGUCUGCAGUUGCACCAACGAGGUUCACAUAAAUGAACCUCUACCAAAACACAAAGUCUAGCACUUGGA
rnacentral:lncRNA from 1 species